GACGAACGCUGGCGGCGUGCCUAAUACAUGGAAGUUGAGCGAUGAAGAUUGGUGCUUGCACCAAUUUGAAGAGCAGCGAACGGGUGAGUAACGCGUGGGGAAUCUGCCUUUGAGCGGGGGACAACAUUUGGAAACGAAUGCUAAUACCGCAUAAUAACUUUAAACAUAAGUUUUAAGUUUGAAAGAUGCAAUUGCAUCACUCAAAGAUGAUCCCGCGUUGUAUUAGCUAGUUGGUGAGGUAAAGGCUCACCAAGGCGAUGAUACAUAGCCGACCUGAGAGGGUGAUCGGCCACAUUGGGACUGAGACACGGCCCAAACUCCUACGGGAGGCAGCAGUAGGGAAUCUUCGGCAAUGGACGAAAGUCUGACCGAGCAACGCCGCGUGAGUGAAGAAGGUUUUCGGAUCGUAAAACUCUGUUGGUAGAGAAGAACGUUGGUGAGAGUGGAAAGCUCAUCAAGUGACGGUAACUACCCAGAAAGGGACGGCUAACUACGUG
rnacentral:rRNA from 1 species